AUUGUACGCUGGCGGCAUGCCUUACACAUGCAAGUCGAACGGUAACAGGUUAAGCUGAUGAGUGGCGAACGGGUGAGUAAUGUAUCGGAACGUGCCCAGUCGUGGGGGAUAACUACUCGAAAGAGUGGCUAAUACCGCAUACGACCUGAGGGUGAAAGCGGGGGACCGUAAGGCCUCGCGCGAUUGGAGGGGCCGAUAUCAGAUUAGCUAGUUGGUGGGGUAAAAGCCCACCAAGGCGACGAUCUGUAGCUGGUCUGAGAGGACGACCAGCCACACUGGGACUGAGACACGGCCCAGACUCCUACGGGAGGCAGCAGUGGGGAAUUUUGGACAAUGGACGCAAGUCUGAUCCAGCCAUGCCGCGUGCGGGAAGAAGGCCUUCGGGUUGUAAACCGCUUUUGUCAGGGAAGAAACGAGUUUCUCUAAUACAGAGACUUAAUGACGGUACCUGAAGAAUAAGCACCGGCUAACUACGUGCCAGCCGCCGCCGUAAUAC
rnacentral:rRNA from 1 species